AAUAAUCGCCCCGUUUUUUGAAAUGGGUUCUAUUCCCAAACCGUGUAUACAUUACCUUUGUUGCUUUGGCAGGCCGCCUCUUGGGGCGUCGGCUUCGGCUGACUGCGCCUGCCAGAGGACCCAAACUCGUUUGUUUAGUGAUGUCUGAGUACUAUAUAAUAGUUA
rnacentral:misc_RNA from 1 species